CCGCAGGUUUGGGUCUCACGCAGUGAGACAACGGAGCCGCUUGCGGCGACGGCCCGAAGGGCGAGCGAAGCGAGUCAUCCUGCACGACCCACCA
rnacentral:sRNA from 1 species